rnacentral:lncRNA from 1 species
CCAGCAAUUAUAGCAUUCUUAAAUGUUAUUUUUCCUAUAUUAAAGGGCUGGAUGUCUUAGUAGCUAGGCUCACUGUAACAACCUACAUUUCUUUCCUAGUUACAGUGUUUCCUGAAACAUAAUCAUUUUAUGGUUGCUAUACUGUUCGAUAGAAUUCUUAACUUUCAAAUACACCUUAAAUUUCUAAGACAUCUUAAAAUUUUAAGACAGUAUGUCUUGUGCCAUUAGAUUAUGUCUAUCUUAAAUAGUUAAAAAAACCUUCAUUAGAGCCAAAAAAUAUUAUACUCAACAUAUCGAGGGUGAUUAUGAAUUGUCAAACUUAUGAGUUUUCAAGAGGUGCCCUUAUGAGAUAAGUUUAAUUAAGCAACGCAUUCUAUUAAUCAUUUCUAAUUACUCAUGCAAAUCACAGACGCUGUGGCCUGUGGUUUAAUAGCCUGAUUUGAUCCCAAAUGCAGCUGAUGUCUGUGGCCCAAUGGGUAUUUCCAUGAACGUGUCUUCACUGAUCUUGUUACUCUAUCCAGAUAUGAUAAUUGUCAGAAAACCACAGCUUGAUUUGUUAGGCUUUACAAGUGUUUUAAUUGCUGAAUUAAAGAGGCAAAGGUAAAAGAAUGCAUGAAAA